UCUUUUCAUGUCAUGAAUUGUUCAGAAAAGUGUUAUCAGUAGAUAAAUGUGUAACAAAAAUGUGAGUGGGGCGGGGGGAGAGAGAACAAAAUAUUCAUAAGCUCACAGAGCACAACAGAAACAGUUUUCAAAAUAGGCUACAAUUUAUUCAGGGUGACCGAUUCUGCAUCUGAGUCUUGAAACAAAAGAGAAAUCGUGGUUAUUCUCAAGAUGGCUGGGUGGAGGAAUCCACCACGAUUAGAUUUCAACCCUGCGCUCCUAUCCAGAAUGGCAGGAUCCAGGAUUCUUUUUCAGUUGAGCCACUAAGGCCCUGCCCCCUUCUCCAACAGUCUUUUCUACCCUGCCUAACCAACCGGUCAUGUUUGCCCUUCUCUGACAAACCUAUAAGACAAAGAUGUUAGUAAGGAUAAAAACAAUAAUUAAAAGGGCAAUGGCUUUAAAAACAGCAGAUCGAGAAAUGGAAGCAACCUGAGCAACAGCCACUCAGUUGACUACUUUUGAGUGAGUCACUGAAUAUGAGUGUGAACUAGAACAAGGCAGUGGCUCAAAAAAAAAAAAAAAAGACCAAGAGAUGGCUGUAGCCUGGAAAACAAGCCAUCCAGUUGACCACUUGUCAGUGAGUCAUUGGAGACGUGCCUAAACAGGAAUUAAAAAGGCAGCUGAAAACCAGAGAAGAACAUGGAAUAAGCAAUGAUUUCUCUCCCAGUAAACCGUGAGCACCAUUUUGAAAACUGCUGCUCUAAGACAUGGCUCCAAAGUGGAAAACAACAUUUCAAAAGUAGUGAUAUAUCUGCUGAGAACUGGAUGAGGAAAAGGAUCCCAAGAAGCAAAAGGUAACAUUUGGGAUGUCCAAAAUAAGAAUAACAGCAACACCUACAAUUCCCCAGACAUUUCCCCUUGAAGACCAUCACACAGCCUUUAUUUCGGACGGCGGCCUUCCUUCCCUCCCCACGAGAAAUGCUUCACUUGCCUCCCCAUGAGGAACAAGCCUUUCAUCAUCAAUGUGAGCAGCACCUCAAUGCUGAAUCCUGAAACAUCCAAGAGCAGCAGACCCAAUCUGAAGGCCACUCUUACAGAGUGCUUCAGCAGCAGGAUGUUGCUCCUUACAGAGUGAAAACCUAAAAGUUCCUCCAGGCGUAGAACCAGAGCCAUGGGACCCUGAAGCAGAACUGCAUCUGCUUCCUUUAAGCAUCAAUAGUACUGCAAUUCAAGCUGAGCCUUCUUUUUCAUCACCACUUUCCAUAAAGAACAGCAUAGCACCAAGGCCAGACUGCCCUAGGCCACUGGCAUUUUCAGCCUUUCAAGGGCAGCUUUAGUAAGGAUCACUAUUCCAGCACAGGAAAGAGGAGAGUUCUGUUGGAUUCGUAUCCACAAAUGCUCUUUCCGCUUAUUUUUAUCACAGAUUAUCAUGAUGGUGCCCUACAGCCUUCUGGAGGAUGCAUGUUGAAGUCAUGCUAAAAGUAGUUUUUAUGCCAAAGAGGUACUAAUCUGCAUGCCAGGAUUUACCAGCUGAAUUUUUUUUUUUUUUAAAAAAAAGUAUAACCCGUGCUUACAAAAGAAAAGCAAACAUCCAGACAUCCACCCACAUUCUUAUAAUUCGGCUAAAAAGGGAAGUGCCCUGAAGAAGUGUGCUUCUUCUAUUGAGAAAGCUCUUUUUUGCCAGAUCAGCCAGAAAACCAUAGGUCUCUCGCCCCUUGGAACUCACAAACCCUGCUUCAGACAAAUUUGGAGAACGGUUGGACAGAGAAGAGAAGAACACACUGUUGCAGGAACACAUAUUCAACACUAGAUGCAUACAGUGGGCUGCAGGGGCUCACGGCUGAACCAUUACGAGGCUGGUGAUCUUCCCUGUGAAUGGUCAUUUGAGUGAGGCUGAAGGAGCAAUCCAUGCUACAUGGGUCAACCCCUCUUGCCAACCAGUCCACAGCAGCAUCCUUAGCAUCUUAGCCCCCUAUACUUGGAUUUCCAUCUACCUAAAUGAGCUAUUUCUGUUUGAAAUUGAUUCCAGAAGCAGCAAAGUCUCUCACAGCCAUAUUUUCUCAGCAACAUCUGGAACACCACAUUGUUCAGGCUCAGGAAGUCUACUGCUAAAAUCAAAGACCCCUUUGAAAAGUGUCCACAUUAAGGAGGACAACAGACAUUUCUCCGCCCAUUUCAGUAUUUUUUUCCUGCAGCAACAUCCGAUGGCAUUGAUACAAAGGACAUUUCACUGAGAUAUUGUUCAUGCACAUUUCUAUGUUUCUCAUCAAGGCCAGUCUCUAAAUUCAUCAAUACUCAGAGACAGGCAUCUGUUUCCACUGUCAGCCCAAGGCCAAAGAUAAAUCCACCCCUAGGAAGGACAUCCCUUGAGAGCAGAGAACAGAAACUCCACCCAGAAACAGGGGGCAGAUCCAAGCAAAAAUGUGAGCCAAUCAGGAGGAGCUAGAGGGGCAGAUGGACAGUAGGGUUCUGGGAGGGAAGGGCAGACCAUGAAAGGGGCCCCAGGAGGAAGGAGAAGGUCCCUCUGCUGCCUCCUCCUCCACCAACACCAUGGAGAGGGUCCCCAGACACCGGUCCAAGAGGGAUUUGCCCCAUUCUCUCCCCAACACAAGUCUCGUGGUGCCUGAAGUUUGGGGUUCAUGCAGAGGCCUAGGAAUCGCUUUUUGGCACCAGAACCCACUUUCCUUUGGCUGUCUUAAGUAUGGGAUGGAUCAUCUUGGGGCUCUGCAAUAGAGAAGGGAAAGGGAAAUGCAGUAAUGGGGAUUUCUGCUGCCACUAAAAAAAGAAUUUGCUCCUCAGCUGCAAAGACAAGGCUCUUUAAUGCGGGCUAGGAAAAAUUACUCUGAGACAUCUAAAGGAUACCUCAGCUAUGCCAAUUUUAACCCUGAGUAAAGCUGGAAAUCUAGGUUUACUGUGGUUUUAAAAAUAUCUGGAAAGGUAUCUCUCUCUCUCUUUCUCCCCCCUCCCUUGCUUUCUUUUUUCCUCUCUCCCUACUUCCAUUUCUUUCUCUUCCCCCAUUCUCUUUUUCCUUUUCCACCUCCCUCUUUCCUUCCUCCAUAGGCAUAAAUGGCAGCAGUAGUGGCAAGGCAAAAAUGGUGAGGGGGCACAAAAGGAGAAGGGAUGCAAAUGGCAAAUAGGAAUGCAGGUCAACAGGGCAUGAAUGGAGGCAGGACACAAAUUAUAAACGGUGAAUGGCAAAAGGGUGCAAAUGAAGUUAGGCAAUGGUACUAGCUAUAGUUUAGGACGGGGGCUGGGAAAAUGACCUUGUUGAGCUGUAUCUGGCCCACAGGCUAUUUGAGGUCCCCUGCACCAGGAACUUUGGAGAGGCAAUGGAGGAUUUCCACUCCAAAUCUCAUUUUAGCAAGAGAGGAGCUCUCUCCCUGAGGCCUGUCUCCAUUUGCAGGCUCCCAAUAUAGGUUUUAGGCCAUAUCUGGGUGUGUGGGGGGAACAGUGACGAUACCUUUUUGGGUGACCCAAGGUCGGCCUGGGAGGGUAUUAGGCCAAGCCCCUCCAAAAGGCAGUGUUUCUGCCAGGCAUCUGGUCUCUACAUCAGAGGGAAAACAGUAGAGUUCCUGUUGUCCAACAAACGGGUGGGCCGAAUGUCGGAUAACCGAAAGUGUUGGAUUAUAGGGAAGCCCUAUUAUCUCUCCCAGCAAGCUGGGUGCUUGCCAGGAGGGAAAAGCCUCCUCCUGGCAAUCAACUCGCUUGAAAAUGCUCUCUGCUGCCUAGAAAAACAGCUGAUUUUCUAGGUAGCAAUGAGCAGGGGGCUUUUUCACAUCAGGGGCUUGGCUGGGAGGGAGGAGAUUUUUCCCUCCAGGCAAGGAACCAGCUUGAAAAGGCUCUCUGCUGCCUAGAAAAACAGCAGUGCUCAGGGGGCCUCUCCAAGCAGCAGGUGCUUUCCUGGAGGGAAAAUUCUGCAGUGCUGGACACCCACCAGGAGGGGCAAGACACCGGCACAUCUGAUAAUAUGGCUUGUCGGAUAAGCGGAAGUUGGGUAACCGGAACUCUACUGUAUGUUUAAAAUACCAAUUUCACAUGGUUUUUAGGUAUGUAUGGAAGCAACCACCCUUGACAGCACUUUAAGUGCAAGGCCCAAUGCUAUGAAAUCCUGUGAGAUGUAGAUUCAGAAAGCCCUUAACCUGCUGUUCUGAGGAGACUUGGUUCCUCCAACAUCUGCAGCUCCCAGGAUUCAGUUUGAUGCCACUUGAACUUCCAUGGCUUAAUGCUAUGGGACCCUUGGAGUUAUACAUUGCUAAGGCAACACCACUCUUGGGCAGAGAGAAGGCUUAGGCAGUGAAUCUACAUCACUCAAGAUGCCAUAGCAUUGGCUGAUGGCAAUUAAUGGGCGUCAAACUGUAAGUCCCACUGAAAUCUGAAUGAAAUUAUGAUUUCAAUGGUAUUCAACCCAUGUGAGUCUGCCUGCUGUGGCUUAAUGCUAUGGAAUCCUGGGAGCUGUAUUUUCUAAAGUUUCAACCCUCUUAGGCAGAGAAAGCUAAAGCCUCAUUAGUGCUGGAAGUUGUGUGCUUCAAUCUAGCCUUAUCUGACCCAAAGUGCUGGUGCCUUCAAAAAAUACAACUCCCAGGAUACAAUCUGAUUCUAUUCAAACUACCCUGGUUCAGUGGUAUGGAAUCCUGGUAGCUGUAUACCAUAUUUCACUGCAUAAUAAUUGCUCCCCCCCCCCCUUUUUAGGGGGGUGGGGUGGGAAAGGGCGAUGCAACUAUUAUUUGGUGUUGACUAUUAUCCAGUGAAAAAAGCUCCCCUUGAGGCAUAAGAGUCCCUUUGAGGGUGCAGCUGUGGAGAGGAGGGGCAGGCCCUCUGUCCCUCUCCUCCACAGCCAAUUUUGGCACCCCCAAAAAGGGAGGUGUGACUCUUAUGCAAUGAAAUACAAUAUUUUUGAAGACAUCAUCAGGAAGAAUAUGGAACUUGUGGAUCUACAUCUCCCAGGAUUCCACAGCAUUGAGUCAUUGCAGAUUGAGUGAUGUCCAACUGAAUCCCAGGAUUCAGCUGCUAUGGGUCAAUGCUCUGGACUCCUGAGAGCUCUGGUUUUUCAAGGCCCUUUCCCUUAUUUGUCUUCAAAAACUACAACUCCCAGAAUUCCACAGCAUUGGCCCAUGGCAGUUCAAGUGCUGUCAAAGGAGAGGGAAGGACCAGUCUGCAGCUGUGGAGCAAAGGGUUAAAUCCCUUUUUAGUGGCAGAAGAAGCGCCACCCACAAUGGGCUCCCCAUGUUUCCUUCCCCCCUUCAUUGCGGAGCCCCACUUUCAUCCAUCCCAACCUGAAGGAGGCCAAAGGGAAGCGGGUUCAGGCACCAAAAGGCAAUGCCUAAGCCUCUGCACGAACCCCAACCUUCAGGCUCCACGAGGCUUGUGUUGGGGGGAGAUUAGGGCAUAUCCCUCUUGGACCAGUGUUUGGUGGCCCUCCAAGUCUGAGGAGGAGGCAGUGGAGGGACCCCCUCUUUCCUCUUGGGGCCCCUGCCAAGGUCUGCCCCUAUCUUCCAAAAGCCUGCUGUCCAUCUCCCUUCUGGCUUCUCCUGAUUGACUUGCUCCUUCCCUUGGAUCUGCCCCCUGUUUCUGGGCAGAGCUUCAAGAUUGUGGCUAGAAGAGGUCCCUGUGCUGUUCAGCCCUGUAUUUUCCCCCUCUGCUCUCAAGGGGCUUCCUUCCCAGGCAUGCACUCAGCUUUGCCCUUUAGCUGCCUUUUCUCCUGUAGUAGCUCGGCAAGCAGCAGAGGAUUUUUCUGAUGUUUCAGAGGAUGUGGGGAUUGAUGGGUUUCAAAGUGAGGAGUCUGAGAUUGAUCAGAGAGAAUUGAGACUGAUGUUUUGGAUUCCUGUGCUUGUUCUCAGGCAACAGAAAGUGAAAGCUCCAGUUCCCUUGUGAAAUGGCCUUGGGUCAAUAGUGAGAUUUCUCAGGAAACUAGAUUAGGCCUAAGAAGGCAAGGAGUGAAAAAUAGACAAAUGAGAUAUUCUCAGAGGAUCCGAGAUGACUUUGAAGGCCCAGGCUGUUUAGCAUGAUCUCAUGUGCACCUGGACAGACAUAAAUUAGGUGGUUUGGACUUCAAGCUCUCAGAGGAGACAACAUUGCCAUAAAGGAUGGCUUUCCUGUCUCUGUUCUCAAGUUCAUAGUUCAAGUUUCCUGUUCUGGUUCAUGCCUUUGUUUCUUGGAGGGUUUGCCUUGGAAAAAGUUCCUGCUUUCCAGUUUAUGAAUUUAUGUUUGAAGUGCUGCUGUGGAUUUUGGUCCUCUUGCCUUUAUGUACUUUGUCAUUUUUGAAUUACUGCUAUUUUGUAUUUUCUAGUCUACUGACCUUUUUAGAAAUGCCCUUUCCCCCUUUUUGCCCUGCUUUCUUAAAUACACAUUUUUAGAUAGUACUACUGGACUCUGGUGUGGUGAUGGGUGAAAAGGUGUUUCAGUGCUAGAUUGCAACAUCUCCCCUUUAAGGCCUUUGACUUUUCUGGCUCAGAGACUGGCUUUCAGGCUUGAUCUGCUUGAGGAAGGGAGGAUCAAGAAUGACUCCACUACUGACUCAGAGGCCUGUCAGCAUUUCAGGCUUCCUUCGGGGCUUUUGCCACACUGCUGAGGGGUUCUUCCGUCUUGCCCAGUCUUUAGGGGAAGAAAAGGCAUUUAAAUCCCCUUCCUUUUGAUGCUUUCAGAGUCUUUGGGGGGGAGGGGGGAACGUCACUUAUAUCCACUUCUUUUUGACACCUUCACAGUCUUGGGAAGGAGGCAUUUAAAUCCCCUUCCUUGUGGUCCCUCACUUCGGAGAAGACAAAUGGGAAGCCUCUGAAGCCUCCUCUGUUUCAAGCGCCUUUCUUGUCUGACUUCUUACCUCCAAAGCCAUGUCAGUUCCUAAAAUCAAGACUGGCUUGAGAUAGAGAGAGGGAAAUGCUGGAUUGAUUGUCAAGGCAGAAAUUUCAAAACUGGGGCAGAGAGAUACCAGAGAACUGCAGACAUCAUGCACCCAAAAUGGAGCGGAUUUCGCCUUCAACCUCACUGAGAUGGGACCUUACCAAGAAUAGACCCAAAUAGAGGGAAAACACAAUUUUGAAGCCUUUAUUCCAUAUCAAGUUUAUUUUUGAGCAAACAUAACUUGUUAUGGAGUGACAUCUUCACAAUGGGAAAAUAGACAAGAAAGAGAAAUCAGUAAGUUUCAUUAUCCAAAUUUCAUUCCUUUUUAAAAAAAAUUUUUUUAUUAAAUUUUAUACUACAUCGAAAGAGUGAGAACAUCCAAAUUACAUUCCAAUACAUAAGACUUGAAUGCAAAAUACUUCAUUCACGUCUAUUCAGUAUUUGCAUGUUUCAUUAAUUGAUAGCACUAUUUUCUUUUUUUCUAAGGGUAUCUACUGUAUGUUAUUCCUCCUAUGUCUGUAAUAUGUACUUCUGCGUUGUAAUAAAAAACAGGAAAAAUAAAUGUUUUAAAAAUGUUUUGAGAA